rnacentral:rRNA from 1 species
CCUACGGGAGGCAGCAGUGGGGAAUAUUGCACAAUGGGGGAAACCCUGAUGCAGCGACGCCGCGUGAGUGAAGAAGUAUUUCGGUAUGUAAAGCUCUAUCAGCAGGGAAGAAAAUGACGGUACCUGAGUAAGAAGCCCCGGCUAACUACGUGCCAGCAGCCGCGGUAAUACGUAGGGGGCAAGCGUUAUCCGGAUUUACUGGGUGUAAAGGGAGCGUAGACGGCAGCGCAAGUCUGGAGUGAAAUGCGGGGGCUUAACCCCCGAACUGCUUUGGAAACUGUACGGCUGGAGUGCAGGAGAGGUAAGUGGAAUUCCUAGUGUAGCGGUGAAAUGCGUAGAUAUUAGGAGGAACACCAGUGGCGAAGGCGGCUUACUGGACUGUAACUGACGUUGAGGCUCGAAAGCGUGGGGAGCAAACAGGAUUAGAUACCCGUGUAGUC